rnacentral:rRNA from 1 species
AAUUUAUUAGUAAGAAUGUGAAUUAUAAAUUUUUGGCGGUUGAUUUAUUUUUAGAGGAGCUUGUUUUGGAAAUUACUCUUUAUAUUUAAUUUAUGAAAGUUUAUUUAUCUCCGUUAUUAGAAAAUAUUUUUAAAAUUUAAUGAUUUUAUUUCAGGUCAAGAUGUAGCGAUUAUGUUGUUAAAUUAGCUACAUUUAUGAAAUAAUGGAAUUUUAGUAAGUAAAUUGAUUAUAAAAUUGAAUUUAGUUGUAAUAUAAUUUUAUUAUGAAAAUAUGAAGUUAAUAGAUUAAUGUA